rnacentral:lncRNA from 1 species
CACGUGAUCGCGCCGCUUCUCGGACACAUGACCACGGCGGCGGCGUUCUCGGUUUGUCUGUGGCGGGAGAGGGCUGGAGGUCUAGACCUGACACCGGAAUUGGGGACCGCGGAGCUAGAGGGCUUCCCGCCGCAGCCGGCCACUGCGCCGGGCCCAGGCGAGCCGGUCGGUCACUUGCUAAGUGAAGAGCCCGCCUCCUGGGCUUGCGGGCGGCGGCGUGGACCUGCGCCCCGGUGGGAAGCAGACCCAUGGCCCGGACGGCGGACCGGCGGUCGCGGAAGGCUGACCGUGCUUCGGGCUGUUGAGCAGAGCCUCUGCCCGCGGCCCGCUUCAGCCCAGGUUGUGUGGCGGACCGCGUGGCUUUCCUUCUGGGACGGGUAGGAGCAUGUGGAAAAUGGAAGCUCCGCGAGAAGGUGCUGGUCAACAUUUGGAAGAGGGGGGCCUGGCGGCUCCCGCAUCCAUAUUGCUACACUGGGGACUGGAAAAACAACAGAACGGGACCCAUGCCCUUCUGGUGGGUAAAGGUCUCAAGGCACAGGCAGUAUCUGAGUUUGAAGUCUCACUCCACCUCUUUUUACCUGAUACCUCAAGCAAGUAUGUCUGUUCUGAACCUGCUAACUCUGCAUCCUUGGACACAGUGGGAAUAGCCACCUCGUUUAAUAAAGCUGUGACUGUAGCCAUUCGGACAGGCCAGCUCCUCGCGGUGGUGCCACCGCCCCGGUCAUCCAGGCAUGAGUCUCCAGCCACAGACUCGGGGGCAGGCAAGCCCUCUGACUCCCGUCUUCAGUAACAGCCUCAUUUCUGACCCAAGCUCCCAUUCCCUGGUUCCAUAAGCACCAGUUCUGCAGUCCUGCCCCCUUCCUAAGGGCUCUUGGGGGAGCCUCCUGCCACGGGUUAUCUGUCCACACUGGUCAUGGCAGCCCCCUGGUCCCAGACCCCCAGACGCCUGAGGGCCUCUUUGCCCUGCCUGCCUGGGGUCCUUUCACCUGGGUGCUGCACCUCUCUAACAGGGUUUUGGGGACUGGAGGCAGCAAGGCCAGAACCCCCUCACCUGCCUCUCCUCACCGUGGACCAGAGAAAUCUCCCUACGGUCCAAGGUGCUUCAUCGACCCUGCUUCUCCAGGACACCUUGCCCGCAAGGGAGACCUCAG